GUAUUUUUUAGCUUCCUGGGGCUGUGAUAAUAAUUAUAACAGAGAGAGCAGAACAAACUCUCAAGGAACCAUCUACAGAUCAUGACCGCUGCAGUAUCUGUGCUAGUAAAUUGGAGACCAUUGAAAAUGUACCUGUAAAGGAGCUACUACAAGGGGCAUUUUGGUUAAUGUUUACAAAACAAGUGAAUAAUGGUCUGGGGUAAACUGGGAACACUUGGAGAGAGAUUACCACCACCACCACCAGCAGCCUUGCAGCCAAGAAAUGGUUCCAGUAAGCAGCAUCUUGGAAGAUAAUACUUGGACCCAACAACCUGUACAAAGACUUGCCCAGUUAGUUAUCUUCACUCCUGUAGUCUAACCUGUAUCUAUUCUAGGAAGCCAAAUCUGUUCCCAUUUACAGGGUGCAAAUGCAAAAGAAUUCUAAUGAAGCUUACUUACUUGUUAUAUCAAGGAAUUGUUUUCCUUCACCUCCUCUCUGCAUUGCAAUGGGCACUUUCUGGUAUGUAU